UACGGGGGGAGCAAACGUUGUUCGGAAUUACUGGGCGUAAAGGGCGCGUAGGCGGUCCUGUCAGUGGUGUGUGAAAUCCGAUGGCUCAACCAUCGAGCUGCGCUCCAUACUGCAGGACUUGAGUACAGCAGAGGAAAGUGGAAUUCCCGGUGUAGCGGUGAAAUGCGUAGAUAUCGAGAGGAACACCUGCGGCGAAGGCGGGUUGCUGGGCUGACACUGACGCUGAAGUGCGAAAGCUAGGGGAGCGAACGGG
rnacentral:rRNA from 1 species